UAAUUAUAUACCUCAACAGAGCCAGUGACAGACGGAAUGAAGGCACGUGUGGGGAGGUGUAGAGCAGAGGGGUUGAAAGCUUCAGUCAUGUUCUUUUGGGAGAAGGAGACCUCAGGAAAGGACCUGGCCCCUCUACACUUCAGUUCCUACCUCUGAAGACUGAACCUAGGGAUCUCUAUCUCUGAGAUAUAUCCUCAGCUCCUUUAAAAAUAUUUUAUUUUGAGACAAGUUUUCACUCAAUUGUCCAGGCCUGCCUGAACUUGCAAUCCUCCUGCCUCAGUCUCUCCAGUAGCUGGGAUUACAGGUUCACCUCAUUCAGGAGGACACAGCUAUGAGCAGCUGAGAUUCUCUCUGCAAGUAUCCUUGACUUUCACCAUGUGCGGCAGAGACCUUCCUUUUGCUGAACCAGGUUGAGUCUGCCACCUGGGACAGAAAUGAGUCUGUACAUGUGUCACACUGCUGAGUUUCUGGGGUUAAUAUUUUACUGAAGCUUGGUCCAGUCUUUCCUAACGCAUGUUUUCUGAUCUAUUUCAUACAUCUUCAAUAUUAGUGGUCCCCAUCUCAUUCACCCAGGGUGGGAGUGGAAAUUGGUACAACCUUCCAGGGAGAACAUUUGGCAGUAAGUAUAUAUGAGAAGCUCUAAAUAGGCGUAUUGUCUUUGACUCAGAAAUUUCGCUUCUAGAAAUUUAUCCUAGGGAAAUAAUUGGACAAGUUCAAAAAGUUGUAUGGCUAAGGAGGAUAUUCAUCACAUAAAAUGGUGAGAAAUUGGAUCAGCCUAAAUGUCCCCCAGCAGCAAAUUGGUUAAAUAAAUUGUGAUUCUGCUCUACAGUGGAAUACUUACUGCUGCCAGUGAUACAUAUUUAUUGACAUAGAGAGAGUCACACUCUAGUGCAGUGCAGUGUCUGCAUAAUGUGAGCUCAUCUUUGUUAAAAAAAAGGAUUUGCAUGAGGACAAUCUGGUUGAUAGUGGAUGUUUAACACUGGUAAUUUUGGGGGGUGGAAUCUCAGGUGAUUUUACAUUUAUUGUUUGUAUUUUUCCCUUUUCUAUUUAAAAUUUUUUUCUUCAGUGAUUUUAUAUCAUUUGUAUAAUUAAAAGUUAAAUGGAGCCAGGCAUGAUUGUGGAAGCCUAUAAUUCCAGCACUUGAGAGGCUGAGGCAGGGGAAUUGCUGUGAGUUCGAGGCCAGUCUGGGCUACAAAAUGAAUUCAAGGUCAGCCUGAAUUGUACAGUGAAACUCUAUCUCAAAAAAAAAAAAAAAAUGGGAAGGAAAGCGAUCACGAUCAUGGAUGAGUCAUGGUUUCUGUGUCUGUGGGCAUGGUGAUUCCUACUUCAGCUGACGGUUGUGAGAACCUGGGUUAGAUCACUUGUUAAGAAGCACCUGGUGGUCAAAACCCUUAGCCAUUGUUAGCAGUUUUUAGUGAACUCCGAAUCUUUGAGUCUGAUUGGUUCAUUAAUGAACCCAUCUAUCCAUCCAUAUAAUAAGUAUGUCUUGAAACAUAUAUGCACCUGGCCACGUACCAGAAAAAUAACAAUAAUAGUAAGAAUAGUAAAUAUUUAUAUGGCUCUUAGUGUUGCAGGCACAAUCAUAAAUGUUUACAUUAUUGCCUAACUUAAUCUACACAGUGACCCCCGUGUGCUGUUUUUGGUGGUUUUGGGGAUUGAAACCAGGACUUUUGCAAUGAGAUAGAUCCCCAGCGCUGCCCCCCCCCCCAUUUUUUUCUAAAAUUUUUUGAGAUGGAGUCUUACUAAGCUACUAAAUUGCCCAGACUAGGCUUGAACUUGUGAUCAUCCUGCUUCAGCCUCCCAGAAUGCUGAGAUUACAGGCAUGUACCACCAUGCCCAGCUCACAAUGACCCUUUGAUGAGAUAUCAUUCUUGGUCUUGUUUUGAUUGAUUAUGAAACACGCACAGAAAUACCAUGUGACCUGCUUGAAGUCACAAAGCUAGGAUUUAGGCAGAGUCCAACAGUCCACAUUCUUAGCUGUUGAAUUACACAUCCUGGGGAAGACAGAGAUGGGUCUACUCCUCUUUUGGGUCCCCUGUUCUUCCCAAGUUGGGGGCAGCAGGGCUAAGCCCUGGUUGGCGGAGAGUCAGCAAGAGGGUUGGAGAUCUCGUGCAUUCCAGACCUAGAGAGGCAGGGGCUGGGAGUUCCGUUAUGAAGCCCAGGCUGAGCUGAGUGAUGCAGGUGUGACAACCCUACCCGGGCUCACAGGAAACUCAGGCUUCCAUUGGGUGCGGGUACCAUGUUCCUGGCCACUUGGGUGGGAGCAAAUAAAGGCAAUAGUGGCCCAUCCAUACUCUGUCACUACAGGGUAGGUGUUGGGUGAAGCACCUUGGUAUAUUAUAUCAUUUAGUCCUCAGAGCAACUCUGUGAAGACAGAGAGGUGAAGUGACUUACCCAGCAUCUCACAGCUUAGAUGUGAGAAGUCCAUGUUCAAACUAGGGCCCUGAGCCUACAUCCCUAACCUCAUCCGCCCACUUGGGGCUCCUGGAGAUAUGGAGCUGGGAGACCUCCCAUAACGGGACACCUCGCAGCUACUGCCCCUUCAGCUGCCAAGGGCUUGCUAACCCCAAGCGUGGGAGACUGUCACAUUGGACAGAAGCAAGGGAGAAACAGGAGACCUUAAGGGCCAAAUGGGGACACAGGAUAGGACUGAGCCGUGGAGAGGAGAGUCCCACCCCAGGCAUUCCUGGGAACAGGAAGGGGUAUGGAUGAAGGGUGACCCACCCCCUGCCUGGAGUGUAGCACUCCUAUCUCCUGCCAUUCUCACCACGAGACAGGGCAGUUGAGCUGCACUCUGCCUUAAAGACAAGGAAGUGCAGCCUGGGAUGGGCUUGCCCAGGUCCACCUCCAGUGUCCUAGCUUAGUGACCUAGCAAGACUCUGUUUCAAAAUAAAAAAUAAAGUUAAAAAAGAUGCGGGAUAUGGCUCAGUACUGGAAAAAAAAUGGUGAAACCUUCAGGGAAGUAAAGUGAUGAAGUUAUGAGGGUCUGCCUUCAUGAGUGAGGUAUUUUUUAUUUUGUUUUGUUUUUCUUUUUGAGAAAGGGUCUUGCUGUGCAGUUCAGGCUGGCCUUGAACUCACUUUGUAGCCCAGGCUGACCUCAAACUUGCAGCGAUCCUCCUGUCUUAGUCUCCUGAGUGCUGGGAUUACAGGCAUGCACCACUAUGCCUGGCUGAAAAAACGUUUAUAGAGUACUUUGCAGGAAGCUGCCUGGUCUCUUUCUCCCUUCUGCCAAUUACUGACCCAGCAGCAGGGCAUUGCCCAUCGAGAGCAGAACAACCUCAGCAGAUACCAUUUAUUUAUUUGCUGGCAUCUUGAGCUUGAAAUAAUAGGCUGGGACUUUCCAGCCUCCAGAAUGGAAAGAAAUAAAUGUCUUUUAUUUGUGAAUUAGCCAGUCUAAAAUAUUUUGUUAUAGCUGAAUGGACUGAGAAAACACACAAAAGGGACUUUGGUCACUGUGGAAUGUCCAAGGAUUUUAGGAGCUGUGUACCAGAAAACAGGAGACAGAGCAAAUAUGUUAAGUGAAGCUAUCUAGUCCUGAAGUUAUCUUUGUAGGAAGGUUUUAACUACAAAUUCAGCUUUUUAAAUAGCUAUUCCUUUAUCUUUUUAAUACUUGUAGUAUUGGGCUGGGGGUUUAACUGAGCAGGUACAAGCACUUGCCUGGCAAGUAUGAGGUCGUGAGUUCAAUCCCCAGUACCCACCCCAAACAAAAGCACUUGUGGUAUUUGUAGUAAUAUAAUUUUUAUCAUUCUGAUAUUGGCAAUAUCUGCUUUCUCUUUUUCCCUGAUCAGUUUAGCUAGAAGUUUAUCAAUUUUAUUGAUUUCUUUAUAGACUCAGCUUAUAUCUUUAUUAAUUUCUCUAUUAUUUUUCUAUUUUUUAUUUUAUUGAUUUCUGCUCUAAUCUCUAUUAUUUAUUUAUUUUUGGCACUUACUGGGUUUAAUUUGCUCUUCUACAUAGUUUGUUAAGGUAGGAGGUGAAGUCAUUGGUUGAAAUCUUUCUUCUUUUCCAAAAACUGGUAUUUAGGGCCAUAAAUGUCCUCCAAAUACUAUAUUAUUGUGGUAUCCCACUAAUAUUGUUUUAAUUUUCAUUCAGCUCAAAAUAGUUAUUAGUUUUUCUUUUGAUUUCUUCUUUGGCUCAUUAUUAAAAUGUAUUGUUUAGUUUCCAAGUAUUUGGAAAUUUUCACAUUUGUUAUUUAUUUCCAAUUUAAUUCCAUUGUGCUCAAAGAACAUUACUUGUAUGAUUUGAAAUAAUUUAAAUUUCUUCAGACUAUUUUUAUGGCCCAGAAUAUGAUCUAUCUUUUAAAACAUUCAGUGUAUACUUGAAAGUAAUAUGUAUUCUGAUAUUGUUUAGUGAAAUAUCCUAAAAAUAUCAGUUAGGUUAAGUUGUUUUACAAUGUUCAAAUCUGAAUUUUAGGGAUUUUCUGUCUGCCUGUUUUAUCAAUUAUUGAGAGAUUGGUACUGAAAUCACCAAUUCUAAUUGUGGAUUUGUUAAUUUCUUGUGGUUUAUUUUUUCACUGUGUACUUUAUUUAUUUUUUCUUUUUUUGUCUUUUUCAUUUUUAUUGGUACCAGGGAUCGAACUCACGACUGCCUGCUUGCAAGGCAGGCACUUAUGCCACUGAGCUAAAUCCCCAGCCCCUGCACUGUGUACUUUAAAACUUCAUAAUUACAUGCAUAAACAUAUGAAUUUUGUGUACUCCAUUUAUUGCUCACUUGAUCAUUAUGAAAUCAAUUUUCUUAUUUCUAGUAAUACUUUCUUAUGAUUUGAGGUAUAUUUUGUCUAAUGUUAGCAUUUCAGUUAUUUAGGGUUAGCAGACUAUAACAUUUUAUAGCUUUUCACUUUUAACCUGUGUCUAAAUUUAAUGUAUCCUUGAUAUAGCAUAUAGUUAAAUAUUGAUUUAAAAAUCUAAUCUGAUGGUCUCUGCCUUUUAAUUGAAGUGUUUGGGUCAUUUACAUUUAGUGUGGUUAUUGAUCUGUCUAUGAUUAUGCCAGAACAAUAAUUUUUUAAUAUUUGACUUACAUAUUCUUUGUUUCCCUUUUCAACCUUUCCUGUGUUUUUUGGAUUAAAUGAGUUUUUGCUUUUAUUGUUGUUUUUGUUUUUUGAGACAGGUCUCACCAUGUAACUCAGGCUGGCCUUGAACUCACUAUGGAGCCCAGGCUGGCCUUGAACUUAUGACAAUCUUCCUGCUUUAGCCUCCUGAGUUCUGGGAUUAUUGGUGGCAUGUGCCACCACACCUGAAAUGGAUUAAAUAUCUUUUUAUGUUUCAAA